UACGGAGGAUCCGAGCGUUAUCCGGAUUUAUUGGGGUUUAAAGGGUGCGCAGGCGGGAGAUUAAGUCGGCGGUGAAACUUUGCAGCUCAACUGUAAAAGUGCCUUCGAAACUGGUUUCCUUGAGUGUAGAUGAAGUAGGCGGAAUUUGUGGUGUAGCGGUGAAAUGCAUAGAUAUCACGAGGAACUCCGAUUGCGCAGGCAGCUUACUAAACUACUACUGACGCUCAGGCACGAAGGCGUGGGGAUCAAACAGGAUUAGAUACCCCUGUAGU
rnacentral:rRNA from 1 species